rnacentral:rRNA from 1 species
AACGAACGCUGGCGGCAGGCCUAACACAUGCAAGUCGAACGCCGUAGCAAUACGGAGUGGCAGACGGGUGAGUAACGCGUGGGAACAUACCCUCCGGUUCGGAAUAACUCAGGGAAACUUGAGCUAAUACCGGAUACGUCCAAGGUUUUAAUCGGCCUUGGAGAAAGAUUUAUCGCUGGAGGAUUGGCCCGCGUCUGAUUAGCUUGUUGGUGAGGUAAUGGCUCACCAAGGCGACGAUCAGUAGCUGGUCUGAGAGGAUGAUCAGCCACAUUGGGACUGAGACACGGCCCAACUCCUACGGGAGGCAGCAGUGGGGAAUAUUGGACAAUGGGCGAAGGCCUGAUCCAGCCAUGCCGCGUGAGUGAUGAAGGCCUUUAGGGUUGUAAAGCUCUUUUACCCGGGAAGAUAAUGACGGUACCGGGAGAAUAAGCCCC